UUACGGCCAUAACACGUUGAACCACCGAUUCUCGUGCGAUUACCGAAGUUAAGCAGUAUCGAGCCUGGCCAGUACCUAGACAGGUGACCUCUUGGGGAUACCAGGUGCUGUAAG